GAUGAACGCUGGCGGCGUGCCUAACACAUGCAAGUCGAGCGAACCCUUCGGGGUGAGCGGCGGACGGGUGAGUAACGCGUGGGUAACCUGCCCUAUACACACGGAUAACGUACCGAAAGGUACGCUAAUACGGGAUAAAGUUGUUGGAUGGCCUCUUCUAACAAUCAAAGCUCUGGCGGUAUAGGAUGGACCCGCGUCUGACUAGCUAGGUGGUGAGGUAAUGGCUCACCAAGGCGACGAUCAGUAGCCGACCUGAGAGCGUGACCGGCCACACUGGAACUGAGACACGGUGCAGACUCCUACGGGAGGCAGCAGUGGGGAAUAUUGCACAAUGGGCGAAAGCCUGAUGCAGCCACGCCGCGUGAGCGAUGAAGGUCUUCGGAUCGUAAAGCUCUGUCCUCAAGGAAGAUAAUGACGGUACUUGAGGAGGAAGCCCCGGCUAACUACGUGCCAGCAGCCGCAGUAA
rnacentral:rRNA from 1 species